GAUGAACGCUAGCGGCAGGCUUAACACAUGCAAGUCGAGGGGCAGCACGGGUAGCAAUACCUGGUGGCGACCGGCGCAAGGGUGCGUAACGCGUGAGCAACAUGCCCUAUACAGGGGGAUAAUCCAGGGAAACUUGGUCUAAUAUCCCAUAGCAUUUAGAGGAGGCAUCUUCACUAAAUUAAAGCUUCGGUGGUAUAGGAUUGGCUCGCGUGACAUUAGCUAGAUGGUGAGGUAACGGCCCACCAUGGCUAUGAUGUCUAGGGGUUCUGAGAGGAAGACCCCCCCAACUGGGACUGAGACACGGCCCAGACUCCUACGGGAGGCAGCAGUGAGGAAUAUUGGACAAUGGAUGGAAAUCUGAUCCAGCCAUGCCGCGUGCAGGAAGACGGCCCUAUGGGGUUGUAAACUGCUUUUAUAUGGGGAGCAAUAAGGUUUACGAGUAGACCGAUGAGAGUACCAUAUGAAUAAGGCAUCGGA
rnacentral:rRNA from 1 species